rnacentral:rRNA from 1 species
ACACGUAGGGGGCAAGCGUUGUCCGGAAUUAUUGGGCGUAAAGGGCGUGUAGGCGGUUAAUUAAGUCAGGUGUGAAAGCCCGGGGCUUAACCCCGUGACUGCACCUGAAACUGGUUAACUUGAGGGCAAGAGAGGAAAGCGGAAUUCCUAGUGUAGCGGUGAAAUGCGUAGAUAUUAGGAGGAACACCAGUGGCGAAGGCGGCUUUCUGGCUUGACCCUGACGCUGAGGCGCGAAAGCGUGGGGAGCAAACAGGAUUAGAUACCCUGGUAGUCCACGCCGUAAACGAUGGGUACUAGGUGUAGGAGGUAUCGACCCCUUCUGUGCCGCAGCAAACGCAUUAAGUACCCCGCCUGGGGAGUACGUUCGCAAGAAUGAA